GACGUAGGGGCCGAGCGUUGUCCGGAAUUACUGGGCGUAAAGCGCGCGCAGGCGGAUUGUCGCAUCGUCGGUGAAAGCCCCCCGCUCAACGGGGGAGGGUCCGGCGUGAUGGGCAGUCUGGAGGCAGGGAGAGGCGAGUGGAAUUCCGGGUGUAGUGGUGAAAUGCGUAGAGAUCCGGAGGAACACCAGUGGCGAAGGCGGCUCGCUGGACCUGACCUGACGCUGAGGCGCGAAGGCGUGGGGAGCGAACGGG
rnacentral:rRNA from 1 species